rnacentral:misc_RNA from 1 species
UAUCGAUUUGCUCUCACAAAUUCAUCAUCAAAUGCUACUAAUUUUUAAUAAUUACUCAUAAUUAUUGUUGUGAUCAAGCUUUUCCGGCCGGUUAUCGAUGUUGAGAUCAGAUUAGGCCAGGAAUCCUUCCCCUUGUUUUUCACAUCGGUUUUACAGGGACAUCAUAACUCUAUUAAAUUCAUCAUAGGUGGUCUUGUUCUAGACAGAUGCCAGGGAACAAGUAUACCGGCAACCAAGCGGUUGCUAGCACUCGAUUGGAGAGGCUAUUGAGAGAAAGAGAGCUUAGGAAAAGUAGCAAAGUUUCUCACUUUCCAAAUGAAUCUACUGAUAACAAUAGGGGAAACGAGCUCUCUGACCAUGAUUUUCGCCAAGGAGAAGCUGAUAAUGGAGGAGUUUCAUAUGUCGAACAGUACCUCGAAGGAGCUGCACUAGCAUAUAAUGAAGGAUGGGAGCGGCCUGAUGGAAAGCCCACCAGACAACGACUCUUGGUUGUGGCAAACAGGUUACCUGUCUCUGCAGUAAGGAGAGGCGAGGAAUCCUGGUCUCUAGAGAUAAGUGGUGGAGGUCUUGUUAGUGCUCUUCUUGGUGUGAAGGAGUUUGAGGCUAGAUGGAUUGGUUGGGCAGGUGUGAAUGUGCCAGAUGAGGCUGGGCAGAGGGCACUUACUAAGGCACUGGCAGAAAAGAGGUGUAUCCCUGUAUUCCUGGAUGAAGAAAUUGUUCAUCAGUAUUACAACGGUUACUGCAACAAUAUAUUGUGGCCUCUUUUCCAUUAUCUUGGACUUCCGCAAGAA